rnacentral:rRNA from 1 species
GAACGCGAAGAACCUUACCAGGUCUUGACAUUGAUGGACGAAACAAGAGAUUGUUUUUCUCCUUCGGGAGCCAGAAAACAGGUGGUGCACGGCUGUCGUCAGCUCGUGUCGUGAGAUGUUGGGUUAAGUCCCGCAACGAGCGCAACCCCUAUCUUAUGUUGCCAGCACGUAAUGGUGGGAACUCAUGAGAGACUGCCGCAGACAAUGCGGAGGAAGGCGGGGAUGACGUCAAGUCAUCAUGCCCCUUAUGACCUGGGCUACACACGUACUACAAUGGGCUUUAAUAGAGGGAAGCGAAGCCGCGAGGUGGAGCAAACCCCAGAAACAAGCUCUCAGUUCGGAUCGUAGGCUGCAACUCGCCUACGUGAAGUCGGAAUCGCUAGUAAUCGCAGGUCAGCAUACUGCGGUGAAUACGUUCCCGGGUCUUGUACACACC